UGCCGUGACCAGGAUUCGAACCUGGGUUAUUGCAGCCACAACCCAAUGUCCUAACCACUAGACAAUCACGGC
rnacentral:tRNA from 1 species